AACCUGGUUGAUCUUGCCAGUAGUCAUAUGCUUGUCUCAAAGAUUAAGCCAUGCAAGUGAAAGUAUAUGCAUAUUUUAUAUGUAGAAACUGCGAACGGCUCAUUAAAACAGUUAUAAUCUACUUGACAUUUUAUUAUAAGGAUAACUACGGAAAAGCUGUAGCUAAUACUUGCUUUAAGUGCUUUUUACUUCUUGGAGUAAUUAGCAUGUAUUUGUUAAGCCUUAUAAGAAAAAUUUUUAAUUAAAGGAAUUAUAACAAAGAAGUAACACAUAAUAUAUUUACUAUAUUUAGUGUGUAUCAAUCGAGUUUCUGACCUAUCAGCUUUUGAUGUUAGGGUAUUGGCCUAACAUGGCUAUGACGGGUAACGGGGAAUUAGAGUUCGAUUCCGGAGAGGGAGCCUGAGAAAUAGCUACCACAUCUAAGGAAGGCAGCAGGCGCGUAAAUUACCCAAUUCUAAAUAAGAGAGGUAGUGACAAGAAAUAACAAUAUAAGGCCAAAUUUUGGUUUUAUAAUUGGAAUGAUGGGAAUUUAAAACCUUCCCAAAAAUCAAUUGGAGGGCAAGUCUGGUGCCAGCAGCCGCGGUAAUUCCAGCUCCAAUAGCGUAUAUUAAAAUUGUUGCAGUUAAAACGCUCGUAGUUGAACUUCAAGGGUAUUAUUAUUUUAAGUAACUCACUUGGCGAGAAUCUUGGCUCCGCCUCGAUAUCUUCAUGCCUUGUUGUAGUUCUUUUAAUUACAGACCCUUUGAGAGCCCAAUGAUUUAUCACUGGGUUUCUCGUUACUUUGAGUAAAUUAGAGUGUUCAAAGCAAACAGUUAAAGCGUUUUCGCGUUUGAAUACUAUAGCAUGGAAUAACAAAAUUGAACAAGUCAAAUUUUUUGUUCUUUUUUCUUAUUUUGGCUUAGUUACGAUUAAUAGGAGUAGCUUGGGGGCAUUUGUAUUCAGAUGUCAGAGGUGAAAUUCUUAGAUUUUCUGGAGACAAACAACUGCGAAAGCAUUUGCCUAAAAUACUUCCAUUAAUCAAGAACGAAAGUUAAGGGAGUGAAGACGAUCAGAUACCGUCGUAAUCUUAACCAUAAACUAUGCCGACUAGGUUUUGGAUGAAAAUUUUUAAAUAAGAUUUCCCUUCGGGGAUUUCUUAGAUUGCUUCCUUCAGUACCUUAUGAGAAAUCAAAGUCUUUGGGUUCUGGGGCGAGUAUUCGCGCAAGCGAGAAAGUUAAAAGAAUUGACGGAAGGGCACCACCAGGCGUGGAGCUUGCGGCUUAAUUUGACUCAACACGGGGAAACUCACUAGUUUAAGACAAGAGUAGGAUUGACAGAUUAAUAGCUCUUUCUUGAUUUCUUGGAUGGUGAUGCAUGGCCGUUUUUAGUUCG
rnacentral:rRNA from 1 species